rnacentral:misc_RNA from 1 species
AAUUCUCAACCCUCCUCACUUUUGUGAUGGAACGGAUUGGACUUGGAGGUCUUUGCCGGCUUUAUUGUCUCGGCUCCUCUCAAAUGCAUUAGUACGUCUCGUUGCGAUGUACGCCUCGGUGUGAUAAUUAUCUACGCUGUGUGCGCUUUCGCUUCUAGUUGGGAUGUGCUUCAAACCGUCCGAGAAGGACAAAUCAUCGAA